rnacentral:rRNA from 1 species
UACGGGGGGGGCAAGCGUUGUUCGGAAUUACUGGGCGUAAAGGGCUCGUAGGCGGCCAACUAAGUCGGAUGUGAAAUCCCCAGGCUUAACCUGGGAACUGCAUCCGAUACUGGAUGGCUUGAAUCCGGGAGAGGGAUGCGGAAUUCCAGGUGUAGCGGUGAAAUGCGUAGAUAUCUGGAGGAAUACCGGUGGCGAAGGCGGCGUUCUGGACUGCAACUGACACUGAGGAACGAAAGCCAGGGGAGCAAACGGG